rnacentral:rRNA from 1 species
CUUUGGGAUAACCCUCGGAAACGGGGCUAAUACCGGAUAGGACCUUCGGACGCAUGUCUGGGGGUGGAAAGUUUUUCGGCCUGGGAUGGGCUCGCGGCCUAUCAGCUUGUUGGUGGGGUGAUGGCCUACCAAGGCGACGACGGGUAGCCGGCCUGAGAGGGCGACCGGCCACACUGGGACUGAGACACGGCCCAGACUCCUACGGGAGGCAGCAGUGGGGAAUAUUGCACAAUGGGCGGAAGCCUGAUGCAGCGACGCCGCGUGAGAGAUGACGGCCUUCGGGUUGUAAACCUCUUUCAGCAGGGACGAAGCGCAAGUGACGGUACCUGCAGAAGAAGCGCCGGCCAACUACGUGCCAGCAGCCGCGGUAAGACGUAGGGCGCGAGCGUUGUCCGGAUUUAUUGGGCGUAAAGAGCUCGUAGGCGGCUUGUCGCGUCGACCGUGAAAACUUGGGGCUCAACCCCAAGCCUGCGGUCGAUACGGGCAGGCUAGAGUUCGGUAGGGGAGACUGGAAUUCCUGGUGUAGCGGUGAAAUGCGCAGAUAUCAGGAGGAACACCGGUGGCGAAGGCGGGUCUCUGGGCCGAUACUGACGCUGAGGAGCGAAAGCGUGGGGAGCGAACAGGAUUAGAUACCCUGGUAGUCCACGCUGUAAACGUUGGGCGC